GACGAACGCUGGCGGCGUGCUUAACACAUGCAAGUCGAACGGAAAGGCCUGCUUUCCCUUGUGGAUUGCGGGUACUCGAGUGGCGAACGGGUGAGUAACACGUGAGUGAUCUGCCCCCAACUUGGGUAUAAGCCUGGGAAACUGGGUCUAAUUCCCGAUAGGACUGCAGGGUGGUGCCUGUGGUGGAAAACGAUUUUCUAGUGGUUGGGGAUGAGCUCGCGGCCUAUCAGCUUGUUGGUGGGGUAAUGGCCUACCAAGGCGGCGACGGGUAGCCGGCCUGAGAGGGUGGACGGCCACAUUGGGACUGAGAUACGGCCAAGACGCCUACGGGAGGCAGCAGUGGGGAAUAUUGCACAAUGGGCGGAAGCCUGAUGCAGCGACGCCGCGUGGGGGAUGACGGCCUUCGGGUUGUAAACUCCUUUCGACCGCGAGGAAGCCACCUGGUUGGAAGGGUGGUGACGGUAGUGGUAGAAGAAGCACCGGCUAACUACGUG
rnacentral:rRNA from 1 species